rnacentral:rRNA from 1 species
GACGAACGCUGGCGGCGGGCUUAACACAUGCGAGUCGAACGGAAAGGCCCUGCUUGUUUGUGGUUCUCGAGUGGCGAACGUGUGUGUAACACAUGAGUAACCUGCCCUGUACGGUGGGAUAACUGCAGGAAACUGGUGCUAAUACCUGAUAGCUGCGCCUGCUGCAUGGGGGGGUUUGGACAGUUUAGGCGGUGGUGGAUCUACGGGCGGGUUAUCAGCUGGUUGGGGGGGUAGUUGCUUACGAGGGCUUUGGCGGGUAGCCGGCAUGAGAGCUUGAACGGCGUCAUUGGGACUGCGAUACGGACCAGUCUGGUAUGGGAGGCAGCAGUGGGGAAUAUUGCCCAAUGGGCGGACGCCUGAUGCAGAGAUGUCCGGUGCGGGAUGAAGGCUUUCGGGUUGGAAACCGCAUUAGCUUGUGACGAAGCGUGAGUGACGGUAAUAGGUAAAGAAGCACCGGCUAACUACGUG